CCCCGCGAAGAUGACCUGGCGCGUUUGCUCUCGUCCGCGUGCUGUCUUUUCCCGGAUUUUCUGGAAGGGCAAAUCCGUCGCGUUGCACCUGUGACUUUCGCCGUGUUUCCCAUCUUUUCUUUUUCCCCAAGUCGGUGACUGAACAGUUUUAUUGACGGACUGAAGGAUGAACUGAAGUUAGCAGACGUGUGACGGCGCAGCUCUGCUCCGCAGGGAUAAACAGCGUCGUUUCGAGGCUUCAGCAAGCUUCUGUGACCGACCUGGUCAGUGGACCGCAUCCCAGCGUGCUCACCGCAGUUCGCCCGGACUGUAAGCUGUGGCGAGCUGUGGCAGCUGUGAAGAUGAGAGCAGGGAAUUGUGUAUAGGGACCCUAGAAAGCAGUGUCAGGAGAGCAGCUUCAGGAAUGAAGACUCAGGAGAGCAGCCUCAGGAAUGAAGACUCAGGAGAGCAGCUUCAGGAAUGAAGACUCAGGAGAGCAGCUUCAGGAGAUCAACUUCAGGAGAACCGACUCAGAAGAGCAACUUCAGUAAUGAAGAUUCAGGAGAGCAACCUCAGGAAUGAAGUCUCAGGAGAGCAGCUUCGGGAGAACCGACUCAGAAGAGCAACUUCAGUAAUGAAGACUCAGGAGAGCAGCCUCAGGAAUGAAGUCUCAGGAGAGCAGCUUCGGGAGAACAGACUCAGGAGAGCAGCUUCAGGAGAGCAGCUUCAGGAAUGAAGACUCAGGAGAGCAGCUUCAGGAGAGCAGACUCUGGAAAGGAGACUCAGGAAAGCAGCUUCAGGAGAGUAACUAUAGGAUAAAAACUUAAGGAGAUCAGUCUCUCGGGAGAGCAACUUAGGAAGAGAAGCCUGGAGAGAACAGUAGCAAGAGAAGAGCCUCGGAGGCGCUGGCUGUACUGUGAGACCCCAAAGCAGAUAAUGUGUGACCUACAGAUGUUAUGCCUGGAAGGUUGCUGCUCCUGUCACUCCUCUGUUUGCUCCACUGACCCCGAACCCUCCCUCUUCUGCUGUACACAUGAUUACUGUGGGAAUUGUCUCACCAUCAGCUGUUCAGUCCCCCCCCCCAACCUUGGAGGCGUCUGUCUUGUUUUCACCUGUUCCAUUCUGUCUCCUGCAGAACCCCCCUGUCCCAGCCCUCAAACUAGAGGGGGACCUUCUUGUUCCCUUCUGUCCAGGUGACUGUCAUUCUCCUGUCCCUAAAGCUGCCCAGUGUCUGUCCUGGAUCUGGGGCACCUUCUGCGGAGUAAAGUGUGGUUAGUGCAGCUCAACCAGGCAGAGCUGUCUGCCUGAUAGGUGACC